AUGCACCACCUCUUCCUCCUCUUCCUCCUCCUCAUUUCCUUGCUUCCCCAUGAAACCAGCUACUCCGCGGCCGCAGCUUCUGACGGCGGCGACUUGUGCAGCCGCGGGUGCGGCCGUACCACCUUCCCCUACCCUUUUGGAUUCUCAAGUGACUGCCCCAUCCCCAUGUUCUGCGACGCUCGCACCUCCACGCCGAUCCUCUCAUACGAAGCAGGAGACAGCGGCACAUUCUACCACGUCUUGGCCUUCAACUCCACCAGCUCCACCGUCAUCGUCAUGCUCCCAACAUCGUGCAGCCGCAGCGUCGCCGACGCCAGGAGGGCGCUCUCCGGCGGAAACUACGGCGUAUUGUCCAGCACCACGAUGUUCCUCCGUGGCGGCUGCCGCGGCAUCAACGCAUCAGCGGCCGCCGGGUGCAGUUUGCCGGCGGCCGUCAUGUCCAAGCUACUCCACACGGCGCAGUGCGCCGUUAACAACAACGGCACCUCGAACACUACCGUGGCGUGCAUUUCUUCUGCCACAGAGGACACCACUGCGGCGGCGACAGAAUUGUUUCUGCAGUGGGACAAGGUGGAGAAGCAAGAGUGCGACACCGUGCUGACCUCCUCCGUAUUCAUUGACACAGCGGAGGGGACGGUGUCGCUGGAGUACGGGCUCGCAGAGCUGGGGUGGUGGGUCAACGGAACGUGCGCUGACCAGGACACAGAGCCUGGCGUGCGGUGCGCCGGGAACGCGACGUGCUCCGAUGUAAUUACACCGAGCGGGGCGGUGGGGCAUCGGUGCGUGUGCGUGGAAGGGAUGAACGGCGACGGGUUCUUGGCUGGAGAUGGAUGCUACGUCGGUACAAGAGGUCACAUGUUGUCGUGGAGGGGAGGACCCAAGUGUUGCGGGUUGCGGUCUUGCGGAGCAAACGACGGACGGGAGUCAGGAAUACGAUGGGAUUGGGUUUUUGUUACCGUGAUAGUUGAAAAUCAAUCAACUCCUUCCAAAGAAGAUGCGUCUCCCUCGAACUCGAAGCACCAACUAUUAGUAGUGGUGCUCACGUCUGUUGGUUGCAUCAUAUUCCUACCAUCUCUCACCAUAGCGAUUUGUAUCCUCUUCCGCCGCAGCCGAAGGCGCAACACCAUCAAGAAAACAAAACGACCACUGAAAGCGGUCACAACACUCUUUCGCGGUGAGCUUGUCGACGAUGAGCUUGACCAAGGAGUUGCUGGGCCCCGGCGAUUUUCUUACAAUGAACUCGCUAUUGCGACCGAUAAUUUCUCAGAUGACAGAGCGCUUGGGAGAGGAGGCUUUGGGUCUGUGUACCGAGGGUUUGUGAGCGACAUGAACCACGAAGUGGCUAUCAAGAGGGUGUCUGAGACCUCUCGACAGGGCUGGAAGGAGUUUGUCACCGAGGUACGGAUCAUUAGUCGGCUCAAGCACCGGAACCUUGUGCAGCUCAUUGGUUGGUGCCAUGGCGGUGACCAGCUCCUCCUGGUCUAUGACUUGAUGCACAAUGGCAGCCUCGACACUCAUUUGUACGGGUCCGACUUCGUGCUGACAUGGGCACUUAGGUAUGAGAUAGUGCUCGGAGUAGGUUCCGCACUUCUGUACUUGCAUCAAGACAUCGAGCAGCGGGUGGUGCACAGGGACAUCAAGCCAAGUAACAUCAUGCUAGACACAUCCUUCACCGCCAAGCUAGGUGAUUUCGGGCUCGCGAGGCUCAUCAACGACGGUCGAAGAUCGCACACGACCGGAAUAGCCGGCACGAUGGGGUACAUAGACCCGGAGAGUGUGCUGGCGGGCAGGACGAGUGUCGAAUCAGACGUGUAUAGCUUUGGGGUUGUCCUCCUCGAGGUCGCCUCAGGGCAGCGGCCAGCUAAGGUCCAGGAGGACGGCGAUGUCGUCCACCUGGUUCAAUGGGUGUGGGACUUGUAUGGUAGAGGAUCAAUCCUUGAUGCUGCCGACGAACGGCUUAGGAGGGAGUUUAAUAGCGGGGAGAUUGAGCGUGUGAUGGUCGUGGGGCUCUGGUGUGGGCAUCCUGACCGUGGCAUGCGGCCAUCCAUUAGACAAGCGAUGAACAUGCUGCGGUUCGAUGCGCCGUUGCCGACCCUCCCGGCUAGGAUGCCGGUGGCGACCUAUGGGCCACCGACUAAUACUCUGAUUUCUGGAACGUUGGUCAUGAGCAGCGUCAGUGGCCGGUGA
rnacentral:rRNA from 1 species